rnacentral:misc_RNA from 1 species
GAUGAAGAACGUAGCGAAAUGCGAUACUUGGUGUGAAUUGCAGAAUCCCGUGAACCAUCGAGUCUUUGAACGCAAGUUGCGCCCGAAGCCAUUAGGCCGAGGGCACGCCUGCCUGGGCGUCACACGUCGUUGCCCCCCCCAUCUACUCCUUCGGGAUUGCGGGGGGCGGAUGAUGGCCUCCCGUGCGCCUCGCCGCGCGGUUGGCAUAAAUGCCAAGUCCUCGGCGAUGCACGCCACGACAAUCGGUGGUUGCGAAACCUCGGUUGCCCGUCGUGUGCGGUCGUCGCGCAUCGAGGGCUCGAAAAAAUUGCCGGGUUCCGGCUCGGCUUUCAACGCGACCCCAGGUCAGGCGGGGUUACCCGCUGAGUUUAAGCAUAUCAAUAAGCGGAGGA